UUAUAUUGGUCAAACCCAAAGCCAAGUUCAUCACUCAAAUUCAAAGCGUAGAACCAUCACUUACCUGAGCCGUGUUCAGAUUUCACUCUGAUUGAACAAUAACUAAUUUCGAAAUCUUGCAGAAAGGAGGACACAUGCGGUUGCAAUAGUCCAUGGACUUUGGGAAACACAUAUUUGACUAUCUUGAUCAAUUAGAUUUUCCCCCUUUUUAUUCAGAAUGUGUAGGAUUUUUUUGCAAUGCAAUUUAUUGGAGAUGGAUAUGCCAUUAAAGAAUGGUGGAUUUAGCCUAGACCAGGGAGGAGGUCAGAGAACUGGCAGUGUGGUGGCAGGACAACAACCUCUCCCUCAAUGUGAGCAAGAAAAAGGAGCUGAUCAUGGACUACAGGAAAAGGCGGGCCGAACAGGCCCCCAUUAACAUCAACGGGACUGUAGUGGAGCGAGUCGAGAGUUUCAAGUUCAUUGGUGUCCACAUCACCAGUGAUCUAUCAUGGUCCAAACACACCAAGACAGUUGUGAAGAGGGCACAACAAAACCUUUUCCCUCUCAGGAGACUGAAAAGAUUUGGCAUGGGUUCCAACAUCCUCAAAAAGUUCUACAGCUGCACCAUCGAGAGCAUCAUGACCGGUUGCGUCACCACCUGGUAUGGUACUGCGUAUGGCCCAGCACAUCACUGGGGCCAAGCUUCCUGCAAUCCAGGACCUAUAUAAUAGUCAGUGUCAAAUGAAAAAGCCCAUAAAAUUGUUAGAGACUCCAAUCACCCAAGUCAUUGACUGUUUUCUCUGCUACCGCACGGCAAGCAGUACCGGAGAGCCAAGUUAGGGCUAUGGGAAAUACUGCCCCCUUUUGGAUGAAUGGUGUGCCCAAAGUAAACUAAAAUAAAAACUGUUCAAAAUUGCUAAUAUAUGCAUAUAAUAAUUAUUAUUGAAUAGAAAACACUCUAAAGCUUCUAAAACCGUUCGAAUUAUGUCUGUAUGUAAAGCAGAACUCACAGGGCAGCCAUUCUUCCAAACUCUGUCUCCCUCCUUAGAAAAUUCCCCCAACUUUGACGUCAUCGCCCCCACCCUUCCCAACCAGCUAUGGCUCUGGGAACAGUUUCUGUCUCUUCGGUGCGCUCCCGUCUUACAGUGAAACGUGCAACGGAGAAAAUGGCACGAGUUUUGACUGCUUGGUGGGCCAAACACUUGGGUGUCACGCGUUUACAGGAGCGCGCUCUGGAAAAACUGACAUUUUUUUCCAAGCUCAUUGAUGUGAGUUCGUUAUGUUUGAUUUAAUCGCCAAUUGUUUUGUACGUUAAAAACAUCCUAAAGAGAUCCUCACUGAACUUCUGGAGAGAGUUUGCUGCACUGAAAGUAAAGGGGCUGAAUAAUUUUGCACGCCCAAUUUUUCAGUGUUUGAUUUGUUAAAAAAGUUUGAAAUAUCCAAUAAAUGUCGUUCCACUUCA